rnacentral:rRNA from 1 species
GUGGGGAAUAUUGGGCAAUGGGCGAAAGCCUGACCCAGCAACGCCGCGUGAAGGAAGAAGGUCUUCGGAUCGUAAACUUCUAUCCUUGGUGAAGAUAAUGACGGUAGCCGAGAAAGAAGCCCCGGCUAACUACGUGCCAGCAGCCGCGGUAAUACGUAGGGGGCAAGCGUUGUCCGGAAUGAUUGGGCGUAAAGGGCGCGUAGGCGGCCUGGUAAGUCUGGAGUGAAAGUCCUGCUUUUAAGGUGGGAAUUGCUUUGGAUACUGUCGGGCUUGAGUGCAGGAGAGGUAAGUGGAAUUCCCGGUGUAGCGGUGAAAUGCGUAGAGAUCGGGAGGAACACCAGUGGCGAAGGCGACUUACUGGACUGUAACUGACGCUGAGGCGCGAAAGUGUGGGGAGCAAACAGGAUUAGAAACCCUGGUAGUCC